UACGGGGGGGGGCAAGCGUUGUUCGGAAUUACUGGGCGUAAAGGGCUCGUAGGCGGCCAACUAAGUCGGAUGUGAAAUCCCCAGGCUUAACCUGGGAACUGCAUCCGAUACUGGAUGGCUUGAAUCCGGGAGAGGGAUGCGGAAUUCCAGGUGUAGCGGUGAAAUGCGUAGAUAUCUGGAGGAACACCGGUGGCGGAAGGCGGCAUCCUGGACCGGCAUUGACGCUGAGGAGCGAAAGCCAGGGGAGCAAAACGGGG
rnacentral:rRNA from 1 species